UACGUAGGGUGCAAGCGUUGUCCGGAAUUAUUGGGCGUAAAGAGCUCGUAGGCGGUUUGUCGCGUCUGCUGUGAAAUCUGGGGGCUCAACCCCCAGCCUGCAGUGGGUACGGGCAGACUAGAGUGCGGUAGGGGAGAGUGGAAUUCCUGGUGUAGCGGUGGAAUGCGCAGAUAUCAGGAGGAACACCGAUGGCGAAGGCAGUGUCCUGGGGAGUACCUGACGCUGAGGUGCGAAAGCCAGGGGAGCGAACGGG
rnacentral:rRNA from 1 species